rnacentral:rRNA from 1 species
GGGGGGGGGGGGGGGGGGGGGGGGGGGGGGGAGGGCGGGGGGGGAGGGGAGGGGCGUGGUGCUCUGACGUUCGCGGCUGGCGGGUGCGUCACCCGUGGGUACCCUACCUCUGAGCGUGGGGUACCGUCGUGCCACGGGAGCUAGUGCCGGAUCAUCACUUGAUCCGCAUGGGUCAACCGUGUCCGCCUGUCUUGCAGUCCCUUCUCUCUGGUUCUUCGCCGCAUUAGCUAGUUGGUAAGGUAACGGCUUACCAAGGCAAGCAUGCGUAGCCGACCUGAGAGGGUGAUCGGCCACACUGGAACUGAGACACGGUCCAGACUCCUACGGGAGGCAGCAGUAGGGAAUCUUCCGCAAUGGGCGAAAGCCUGACGGAGCAACGCCGCGUGAGUGAUGAAGGUCUUCGGAUCGUAAAACUCUGUUAUUAGGGAAGAACAAAUGUGUAAGUAACUAUGCACGUCUUGACGGUACCUAAUCAGAAAGCCACGGCUAACUACGUG